rnacentral:rRNA from 1 species
UACGACUACAUAUCAGGCAUAUCAAUAAGCGGAGGAAAAGAAACUAACUAGGAUUCCCUCAGUAACGGCGAGUGAAGCGGGAAGAGCUCAAAUUUGAAAUCUUAAAGGGUUUCCCUUUACGAAUUGUAGUUUAAAGAGGUGUUUUCUGUUGAAGUUUCGGUAAAAGUUCUUUGGAAUAGGACAUCAUAGAGGGUGAGAAUCCCGUAUUUGACCGUUAUUUUCAGCUGUGUGAUACACUUUCAAAGAGUCGGAUUGUUUGGGAAUGCAGUCCAAAAUGGGUGGUAAAUUUCAUCUAAAGCUAAAUAUUGGCGAGAGACCGAUAGCGAACAAGUACCGUGAGGGAAAGAUGAAAAGAACUUUGAAAAGAGAGUUAAGCAGUACGUGAAAUUGUCAAAAGGGAAGCGUUUGACACCAGUGUUGUUUUCUCGAAAAUCAAUUAAAAAGUAUGGGAUUUUGUAUUGUUAAGACCUUAUCAGCUUACGGUACUUUUUUCUUAUUCUUUUUAAUGCACUUUUCGUUUAACAAGUCAACAUCAAUUUCUUUUGUUGUAAAAGAGUCAUUGGAAGGUGGCUUUCACUUCGGUGAAAGUGUUUAUAGCCUUUUAGCCUCUGCAAUCGGAGAGAUUGAGGUCUAGCAGCGUAGAUCCUUCGGGGUUAGAUACAUUCGUGCUAAGCUAUAGCCUUUUCAUAGACAACAUUGUUGACUAUGCUCAGUCAUGUAGCUUACUCGCUUAUGUAUUUUACCUACGCUUAGGAUGUUGACGCGCGUGUGUGCGUG